GAUGAACGCUGGCGGCGUGCUUAAUACAUGCAAGUCGAGCGAACGGACGAGACGCUUGCUUCUCUGAUGUUAGCGGCGGACGGGUGUGUAACACGUGUAUAACCUCCUUAUAAUACUGGUAUAACUUCGGGAAACCGGAGCUAAUACCGUAUGAUAUUUUGAUCCGCAUGGUUCAAAAGUAAAAUACGGCCUUGCUGUCUCUUAUCGAUGGAUCCCCGCUGCAUUAGCUAGUUGGUAAGGUAAUGGCUUAUCACGGCAACGAUGCCUAGACGACCUGAGAGGGUGAUCGGCCGCACUGGAACUGGGACACGGUCAAGACUCCUACGGGAGGCAGCAGUAGGGUAUCUUCCGCAGUGGGCGAAAGCCUGACGGAGCAACGCCGCGUGAGUGAUGAAGGUCUUCGGAUCGUAAAACUCUGUUAUUGGGGAAGAACAGAUGUGUAAGUAGCUGUGCACAUCUUGACGGUACCUAAUCAGAAAGCCACGGCUAACUACGUG
rnacentral:rRNA from 1 species